GCCUCCCUCCGCCGCCCACUCAGACUCCUACCGGAGGCGAGCAGUGGGGAAGUCGUUGCACAAAUGGGGGAAACCCUGGAAUGCAGCGACGCCGCGUGAGCGAUGAAGCCCUUCGGGUGUAAGGCUCUUUCGACGGAACGAUAAUGACGGUACCCGAAGAAGAAGCUGCGGNUAACUACGUGCCAGCAGCCGCGUAAUAC
rnacentral:rRNA from 1 species